ensembl:lincRNA
UCAGCGAUGAAGGCGAGGACUGUGACCUAUGGUCAGGCAGACUUUCCUGAAACGGCCUUGGAAUGUCGGCUGGGCGCCUGCCGCGACUCCGAUUGCUUCUCUCAGAAGUUGCUCUCGAGAGAAAAUCAGGGUUCCAAGGAAGGCGAAUUCCAGAAUGCUCCCGUUGUAUGUCUUUGCAGUGGAGCAAGUGGAAAGAUGCCAGCCUCACUCAGUCCUCAACCUCAGGGGGUCUCAGGAGCCCGAGCUGCGUGCCCACCACCCAGCUGCUGCCUCAUUUGGGCUUGCUCCCCGGAAGCGUCACGGAGCAGAGUGCUCAGGAGCCCAGGCUCUGGUUCAAACCCUUGCUCUUAACACUUCUGGGACAUGUGAUCUUCGUAAAGGGUACGGUCGUCUUGUGCCUCAGUUUUCUUCUCUGCCUAGUGGGGAUAAUCGUCAGUCUACCAGCUGAGCUGCUGAGAAGUGGGAACAAGCUCACAUACGCCAAAUGUGGAGGCCACACCAGCACAGUAGAGCAUGCUGUGGACGUGAGUGCUGACGUGUGUGAUAACCGGUAUACAAUGUUCUCUUGGGCUGGGUCUCCUCAGAGCUUGUCCCAAUUCUUGGGGUUAUAGCUUUCUUAUCAGCCCCUGCUCUUGUCACCAUCUGGUUCUUGUUGAGCUCCCACCCUUGUCUUCCCAUUAGUCCCUGGAGUUCCAAAGUCGCUUCCUCUUGGGAUCCCAGAUGGUCACCAUGGGAACAGUCACUCCACAGCAAGCACAUUCCCAUUCCCUGCACAGCAUGUGUCACAUUUCAUCCUUUAAAAUAUGAAGAAAAAAAUUGAGGCCGAUAAAGUUCACCCAGCUCUCAAGCAAAGGAUCCUGAGUUUACCGCCCUGCCAUUGACCCUGACUGCAGACCUCCUGUUGUCUCCUUCCCCAUAGACCCAAGCCUGUGACAAUGAAAAUUCCCACCUUUGUGUCUGUGACGUAAAGACCCACAGAUAGGCUUGUGGGAUGUCACACCCAUGCUACUUACUCUUGGUGUCUCCUGCUAGGCUGUGAGCUGCUGGCAGGUAGAGACUGUGUCUUGUUUAUCUCUCUAUCCUGAGGUACUGUCACAGACCCUAGCAUAUCAUAGAUGCUAAAUACACAUUUGUGAAAUGAAUAAGUAAAGAAGUGGUUCGUUUUUGACAUACACCAUGAAGUAGAGUUGUAGAAUGUGCAUAUGCAAUUUGACAAGAUAACACCAGGCCGUUCUUCAGAGUGGUUGCUCCAACUCUGUCCCACCAGCAAUGUGGAAGAGAAGCUAUCAGUCCCAGUCCUCUCCAGAGCUUGGGGCUAUCAGGCAGCACAUCACAGGAGACAAGGCAUUUGCAUGGGAUCCACACUACUCUGGCCCCCAUCAGUGCUGGUACAGAGCUAUCACAGCUUCUGCCACAAUUUUCCCAAGUUUUAUGAGAUGUAACCUAACGUUGCCACUUUGAAUGGCUCUCCUGGUCUGUGGGGCUCUUCAGCCUCAUCUCUUGAUACUCUUCCUGACCUUUCCCAGUGGUGGAAGUAUCAUUUGUCAUCUUACUGAGGACAUGGCAUGUGCAAGACACAGGGCUGAGCAUUUAACAAGUUUCAGCAUCCCAUUUUGUUCUUUUGCCUGCUCCAUUCCAAUUUUAUAGCUGGGGAAACUGAGGCUUGGAGAGUUUAGGUUUGUUCGCGAAGGCACCUUUCAGGUAAGUGGCAGGGCCAGGUUUCACAGCCAGGUGCUCUGAUUCCACACCUGCGUCUUCACUGUCUUACCUGCCACCAGCUGUGUCUGAAUGACCCUGCAUUUGUCCCCAUCUGACUGAGCUUAUUCUUUCCUCAAUUUCUUAUCUUCUUUGCUUUUUGUGCUUGGUGAACAUGUUUUCAUCUUCAGAACUCAGUCAGGUGUCGCCUCCUUGGAGAAGCCUCUGACCUACUGUCAGAUGAGCUGCUCCCACCUGGCAUCCUGUGUCUUCUGUCACAACACAUGACAAUAUGCAGCAACUGUCCAGUUCUUUUCUUUCUGCUCUGUGAUGCCAUGAGCGCCUUGAGGGCUGGACACCAGCCUUUUAUAACCUUUCC